CCACUAGGAAAACAGUGACUCCAGACAGCUGUGCCUGCUCAGCCCAGGCAAGGCCGUGAGACUCAGCCGAGGAGCAGCUUCACUCAGGGCGAGCCUGCUCUUCCAAAGGCGAAGGUGAAGGUGGGGACUUGGGCCUUUCUGAAACCUAAGGUCGUUCCUUCAAGGGUUCCUUUCAUUUCCUGAUUCUGAUGUCGGCUGAGAUCCUUUCUCUUCCUCACAGGCAGGAAAACCUGUAGGGCCCAGAGGUCAACAACAACUGCCCUCUGGGAUGGCUGCCCGCCGCCCCAGCCUGGAGCGGGAAAGGCAGCAGCACCGGGAGGCGGGAGGCAGGAGGCAGGCAGUGGGUUUGGGUGAGGGAGCUCUGCCCGCCUUUGCUGUGCCUGUGCUGCUUCAGGCAAGUCCCUUCACCUCCCUGAGUCUCAGUUUCCUUGUCUGGCAAAUAGGGUGGGAAGACACAAUGUGAUGUUUUCUUGCUAAAGGGCCUCAGCUGCUGCAGAACGGGCCUGGGGAAAACACCUCCUCCCGCAUCUUCCGCUUGGCCGGGCUGGCGCCUAAGGCUCGCUUCUGUCCCACCGAGAGGAGACACUGGUGGGAAGGCAGUCUGACCUUGCUGACGUCAGCCCAAUCUUGACUUCUAGGAUUCCUGCCUUGACACUCACUUAAGAGAAGAGUGAAGUUUCGGGGACUCCGCACCUCAAGGUAGUUCCACCGCACGAGGUGCUGCGUUCGCAGUAUUACUCAUGCACCUUUCUGAUAAGAAAAGUGAAAACGCGAAGUUGAAAACUGAAGACGCCCAGCAACUUCCUGAAUCCAGCUCUCCACGUCCUGCCCUAUGGGACAGACAACUCCCAAAGAGGAAUCGUUGGUGGAAGUCCCAUGUUUCGUUGGCCUUGGAAGGGGGAACUGGUCAAGGGCUCAUCUCUGGACCCACACCCCAUAACCAACAUGGAAGCCUGGAUUUGGCCCUGGGUCAGGCUAGCUCCACAGGGAAGGGUCCAGUCUCUCCGGGGAGAUAUCCCGACUUCGGGUCCUGCUUUCUCUACUAUAAAUGGAGGCCAGCCAUGCCCCUCGGUGGGCCUCAGUUUCCUCACCUGUACAGUGGGGAAAUCCAUAGGACCUACGUCCCAGGAGGGCACUGGACCGAGGCACUGAAUGCCUGUCCAGUGCUCACGAUCGUGACAAGCACGGUGUGGAAUAAAUCCGGAAUAAAUGCUUACUGGGUGAGGGAGGACAGGGAAGAUUUCUAAAAUCCCCCUGACUUAAGAUCUGAUUCACCCAUUUAAAAAACCGUACUGGUAAAUAAUUUGAAAUGUAGAGGAAAGUUAUAAGGAAUCGCACAAAGAAUACUCCCAAACGUUUUGCCCAGAUUCACCUGUUUUCUGUGACAACUUUGAGAUAGAAUUCACACACCAUACAACUGACCCAUCACAAGUAUACAAUUCAAUGGCCUUUCAUAGUCAGAGUUGUGCAACUGUCACCAGAGUCAAUUUUAGAACGUUUUCAUCACUCUCCUCCCACAAAAAAACCCUCACAUCCCUUGGCUGUCACUCUGCACCUAUUAAUAUUUUUUAAGUGUUGAGACUUUUUUUUUUUUUUUUUUUGAUGGAGUCUCACCCUGUUGCCCAGGCUGGAGUGCAGUGGCAUAAUCUCGGCUCACAGCAACCUCCACCUCCUGGGUUCAAGCGAUUCUCCUGACUCAGCCUCCCGAGUAGCUGGGAUUAUAGGUGCCUGCCAUCAUGCCCAGCUUAUUUUUGUAUUUUUAGUAGAGACAGGGUGUCACCA
rnacentral:lncRNA from 10 species